rnacentral:tRNA from 16 species
GUCCGGGUGGCGGAAUAGGCAGACGCGCUAGCUUGAGGUGCUAGUGCCCAGUGAUGGGCAUGGGGGUUCAAGUCCCCCCUCGGACACCA